CCACGCCGUAAACGAUGAGUACUAGGUGUCGGAGGUUUCAAUACCCUCGGUGCCGCAGUUAACGCAAUAAGUACUCCGCCUGGGGACUACGGUCGCAAGACUGAAACUCAAAGGAAUUGACGGGGGCCCGCACAAGCGGUGGAGCAUGUGGUUUAAUUCGAUGCAACGCGAAGAACCUUACCUGGCCUUGACAUACCAAGAGUUUGCUAGAGAUAGCGAAGUGCCUUCGGGAACUUGGAUACAGGUGCUGCAUGGCUGU
rnacentral:rRNA from 1 species